rnacentral:sRNA from 1 species
CUAUAGCCCCGAUAAAAGUGGAAAUCCUUUAUAGGAGUAAAUCCUGUAAGGUUUACUGCUCUAAAGAUUGCAACGGAUAGCGGGAAAAAGC